UACGUAGGGUGCGAGCGUUGUCCGGAAUUACUGGGCGUAAAGAGCUCGUAGGUGGUUUGUCGCGUUGUCCGUGAAAACUCACAACUCAAUUGUGGGCGUGCGGGCGAUACGGGCAGACUGGAGUACUGCAGGGGAGACUGGAAUUCCUGGUGUAGCGGUGAAAUGCGCAGAUAUCAGGAAGAACACCCGUGGCGAAGGCGGCUCUCUGGGACGGUACUGACGGCUGAGACGCGAAAGCGUGGGGAGCGAAC
rnacentral:rRNA from 1 species